CCCUUAGAUGUUCUGGGCCGCACGCGUGCUACACUGAGUGGAUCAGCGGGUCAGGUUGCGCGAAAGUGUUUCCUAAUCUUGAAAUCCGCUCGUGAUGGGGAUUGACGGUUGCAAUUUUCCGUCAUGAACGAGGAAUACCUUGUAAGCGCGGGUCAUCAUCCCGCGCUGAAUACGUCCCUGCCCUUUGUACACACCGCCCGUCGCUCCUACCGAUUGAGUGGUCCGGUGAGGCUUUGGGAUCUGAGCAAAAAGAGCGUUUCGCUCGGUUGGCUCGGAAAACUCAGUCGAACCUUAUCAUUUAGAGGAAGGAGAAGUCGUAACA
rnacentral:rRNA from 1 species